AUUGAACGCUGGCGGCAUGCCUUACACAUGCAAGUCGAACGGCAGCACGGGAGCAAUCCUGGUGGCGAGUGGCGAACGGGUGAGUAAUAUAUCGGAACGUGCCCAGUCGUGGGGGAUAACGCAGCGAAAGCUGUGCUAAUACCGCAUACGAUCUACGGAUGAAAGCGGGGGAUCGCAAGACCUCGCGCGAUUGGAGCGGCCGAUAUCAGAUUAGCUAGUUGGUGGGGUAAGGGCCCACCAAGGCGAUGAUCUGUAGCUGGUCUGAGAGGACGACCAGCCACACUGGGACUGAGACACGGCCCAGACUCCUACGGGAGGCAGCAGUGGGGAAUUUUGGACAAUGGGCGAAAGCCUGAUCCAGCAAUGCCGCGUGCAGGAAGAAGGCCUUCGGGUUGUAAACUGCUUUUGUACGGAGCGAAAAGGUCCUUUCUAAUACAAGGGGCUCAUGACGGUACCGUAAGAAUAAGCACCGGCUAACUACGUGCCAGCCGCCGCAGUAA
rnacentral:rRNA from 1 species